rnacentral:rRNA from 1 species
CCUACGGGAGGCAGCAGUGAGGAAUAUUGGUCAAUGGGCGGAAGCCUGAACCAGCGACGCCGCGUGAGUGAAGAAGUAUUUCGGUAUGUAAAGCUCUAUCAGCAGGGAAGAAAUAAAGUCCUUCGGACUUUGGACGGUACCUGACUAAGAAGCCCCGGCUAACUACGUGCCAGCAGCCGCGGUAAUACGUAGGGGGCAAGCGUUAUCCGGAUUUACUGGGUGUAAAGGGAGCGUAGACGGCAGCGCAAGUCUGGAGUGAAAUCCCAUGGCUUAACCAUGGAACUGCUUUGGAAACUGUGCAGCUGGAGUGCAGGAGAGGUAAGCGGAAUUCCUAGUGUAGCGGUGAAAUGCGUAGAUAUUAGGAGGAACACCAGUGGCGAAGGCGGCUUACUGGACUGUAACUGACGUUGAGGCUCGAAAGCGUGGGGAGCAAACAGGAUUAGAUACCCCAGUAGUC